GGUUCGAUGGCGUAGUGGUUAUCGCAUCUGUCUUACAUUAUCUAUGAGUGGGAUUGUACAGCACAGAAGGUCUCCGGUUCGAUCCCGGGUCGAAUCA